CCUACGGGAGGCUGCAGUGGGGAAUAUUGCACAAUGGGCGCAAGCCUGAUGCAGCCAUGCCGCGUGUGUGAAGAAGGCCUUCGGGUUGUAAAGCACUUUCAGCGGGGAGGAAGGCGUUAAGGUUAAUAACCUUGGCGAUUGACGUUACCCGCAGAAGAAGCACCGGCUAACUCCGUGCCAGCAGCCGCGGUAAUACGGAGAGUGCAAGCGUUAAUCGGAAUUACUGGGCGUAAAGCGCACGCAGGCGGUCUGUCAAGUCGGAUGUGAAAUCCCCGGGCUCAACCUGGGAACUGCAUUCGAAACUGGCAGGCUAGAGUCGUGUAGAGGGGGGUAGAAUUCCAGGUGUAGCGGUGAAAUGCGUAGAGAUCUGGAGGAAUACCGGUGGCGAAGGCGGCCCCCUGGACAAAGACUGACGCUCAGGUGCGAAAGCGUGGGGAGCAAACAGGAUUAGAUACCCGGGUAGUC
rnacentral:rRNA from 1 species